AUGUCACACUUUAGCAUUCUCAUUCUAUUCCUCAUAGUCUUAUCCUUCACUCCAACAUUAUGCAACCCACGAGACAAAAGUCCUUCUUAAAACCAAGAAAGAGCUAGGAAACUCAACCACUCUCUCCUCAUGGCUCCCAACCACCGACUGCUACAACAAGGCACCAACCAGACCCAAGCAUACCGCGUCAACGACCUCGAACUCUCCUACCUUAACCACCCCAAAUUCUACCCUAUACCCCCCUCCAUAGGUAACCUUCCCUACCUCGAAUUUCUUUCCAUCAUCAGCACCCCCAACAUCGUUGGCACAAUACCCUCCACCAUCACCAAACUCACCAAGCUUCGUGAUCUCUAUAUCAGAUUCACCAAUCUCUCCGGCCAUAUGCCCCAUUUCUUGUCCCAAAUCAAAACCCUCAAAGUCAUCGACCUCUCAAACAAUUGCAACGAACUCUCCGGCAACCUCCCUGCCUGGCUCCCUUCUCUCCCCAACUUCUCCGAAAUCUCCUUCGACGCAAACCGCAUCUCCGGCUCCUUCUCGAAGUCGCUCACAGGAUGAUGUCGCUCACCGACAACCGCCUCACCGGGAAGAUUCCGGCGAAACUGGCGAAGCUGGACUUGAAGUUUGUGUACUUGUGUCAUAAUAUGCUGGAGGGUGAUGCUUCAAUGCUGGGCCGGCUUAAGGCCCAAGCAAGAGCUUUAGAGUACGUGCUGGCGGGCGCGUACAUGCAUGACCAGUUGACCACAUACUCGACGGAGACAUCAAUGCCAAUUGGCAACACAUAUAUAUAUACAUGGAAUCCACGUACAUUUUUUCACACCCCAUUCAAAAUCCCUUCAAAGAUGUCACACUCAAGCACUCUCUUUCUCUUCCUCAUAGUUCUAUUCUUCACUCCAGCACUCUCAGAACUAUGCAACCCACAAGACAAAGAAGCCCUCCUUCAAAUCAAGAAAGAGUUCGGUAACCCUACCACUCUCUCUUCCUGGCUCCCAACCUCUGAUUGCUGCAACAACAACUGGGUAGGUGUCUCAUGCGCCAACAAGACCCAAUCUUACCGCGUCAACCACCUCGACCUCAACGACCUUAACCUCCCCAAACCCUACCCUAUCCCCCCCUCCGUAGGUAACCUUCCCUACCUCAAUUUUCUUUCCAUCACCAACACCAACAACCUCGUUGGCACAAUACCCCCUACCAUCACCAAACUCACCAUGCUCCGUGAACUCCAAAUCAGAUUCACCAACGUCUCCGGCGAGAUACCCCAUUUUUUGUCCCAAAUCAAAACCCUAGAAUCAAUCAUCUUCCACUACAACAACUUCUCCGGCAACCUCCCUCCCUGGCUCCCUUCUCUCCCCAACCUCUACAGAAUCUCCUUAGACGGAAACCGCAUCUCCGGCACCAUCCCGGACUCCUUCGGCUCCUUCUCGGAUUCGCUGAAGUUGAUGACCUUCUCCGACAACCGCCUCACCGGGGAGAUUCCGGCGACGUUGGCGAAGCUGGACUUUGAUUUCGUGGACUUGUCUCAGAACAUGCUGGAGGGUGAUGCGUCGGUGCUGUUCGGGUCGGAGAAACACACGCUGCAGAUAAAUCUGGCGAACAACUCGUUUGCUUUUGAUUUCGGAAAAGUAAGGGUGUCAAAGACCUUGUUGAUUUUGUAUCUUAGUCACAAUCGUUUAUAUGGGGCGCUGCCUGAGGGACUUACGUCGCUUAAGAAUCUGGGCACGUUUGAUGUGAGCUACAAUGAAUUGUGUGGUAAGAUUCCACGGGGUGGUAGGUUGCAAAAAAUUGAUGUUUCUUCCUAUUCUCAUAACAAGUGCUUGUGCGGAUCUCCGCUUCCAAAGUGCAAGCACUUAUAGAGCUCAACACAACAUAGUUCACUUGCCCUUACGAGAAAGGGUAUAAGAAUAAGAGAAAUUCUUUGUCCUCUUAAGCUUAAUGUUAAGCUACUUUGCUAUCAAUUUAACGCGUCACGUAAUUGUGUAUGUGACACUAUGUAAUUGUAUCGCACUUUUAUUUUAUCAUAAAUUAAUCUUGAAAGUUUUUUUUAUACAUAAUACUUGUAUAUCUUAAAAGUUGUAGACGUUUUCUUUCAUUUGAAAGAGACGAAAGAAUAAAAUGCCAACG